GAAACCUGGUUACGCGUGUACCCUGCCCCCCAGGUCGCUCACGAGCCGACGUGUUCUGUCAUCUUCAGAUGCAUCGUUUGUCAACUCGGACUGGCCUCCUUUCUCGUCCUAUGGAACAUUUUGUGGGUGUUUGUCAUACACAAUUUUGAAGGGCCCUACGAAACUGAAGUGUCCAUACUAUUCGAGAAGGAACAAAAUCAACUCGUUAUUGACCUUGCUACGGAGUUGAGACAGAUCACCCCCUUAUCCCCAAAAUGGAAGCACGCCAUAGAGAAGCGGAUCGAAGACGAACGCCAGCUAACGAUGCUGGCGAUGGCGCGC